rnacentral:tRNA from 1 species
GGUUCCGUAGCUCAAUUGGAUAGAGCAUCUGACUACGGAUCAGAAGGUUUGGGGUUCGAAUCCCUACGGGACCG